GUAUGUAUGACUUGUUCAUUGACUCCAAGAGAGUUAAGCUGUCAAGAGAGAUGGUUUAAGAAUCACUUGGAACCAAUGCCUAACUCCAGUUGUGCAGCUUAAAUCUCUGGAUCUCUGCUAUACUUCGCACCUCCUCAUUCCAAAUUAAUUACCCAGAUGAACCAGUAUUAGCUGUGCCUUCCAGAUUUCAUAUUAUGCUAUAGAUAAGACAAAAACCUGCAAUUUUCUAUGAAGACAUUUCUUGACAUUAUCCACAGAACUGUGAACGGUGACUCUGCCAUCAAAGAUUACCAAGAAGGCAUAUUUCUGGUUUCAUUUUUCCUACCAAACAAAUGGCUUCAGAAGGAACAUAAAGUCAGAAAAAUUAGAAAAUUUUAAGUGCCUUAAAUGUUUACAAGAAUUUAGAAAAUCAAAUACAUUUGUUCUGUCAGUUGAGAUCUUUAC